rnacentral:lncRNA from 1 species
AUCCUCUAAAUCAUUUAAAUCCUCUAAAAUUAUUAGGUCCUUAAAAUGACAAAGUUAUGGAGAUAACUGAAUCAUAGCCUCCCAUUAAGGUGUUUGAUAAUGAGUCCAUUAACUCAAUAAUCAUUGCAGACCCAAAGGCCUGGUGCUUGUUGACUAAUAGAAUUAUCACUCAUCAUAUGAUGACUUGGAAGUGUCUCUCAAAUGGUGGUUAGGUGAGCC